CAAUGGGCGAAAGCCUGACCCAGCAACGCCGCGUGUGUGAUGAAGGCCUUCGGGUCAUAAAGCACUUUCUGGGAGAUGAGAAAGGACAGUAUCCCAGGAAUAAGUCUCGGCUAACUACGUGCCAGCAGCCGCGGUAAAACGUAGGAGGCGAGCGUUAUCCGGAUUCACUGGGCGUAAAGCGCGUGCAGGUGGCGCGGUAAGUUGGGCGUGAAAUCUCCCGGCUCAACUGGGAGAGGUCGUCCAAUACUACCGUGCUUGAGAGCAGAAGAGGAAGAUGGAAUUCCCGGUGUAGUGGUGAAAUGCGUAGAUAUCGGGAGGAACACCAGUGGCGAAGGCGAUCUUCUGGUCUGUUUCUGACACUCAGACGCGACAGCUAGGGUAGUAAACGGGAUUAGAGACCCCGGUAAUCCUAGCCGUAAACGAUGUGAACUUGGCGUUGGUGGGUUAAACUCCAUCAGUGCCGUAGCAAACGCGAUAAGUUCACCGCCUGGGGACUACGGCCGCAAGGUUA
rnacentral:rRNA from 1 species